UACGAAGGGGGCUAGCGUUGUUCGGAUUUACUGGGCGUAAAGCGCACGUAGGCGGAUCGUUAAGUCAGGGGUGAAAUCCUGGGGCUCAACCCCAGAACUGCCUUUGAUACUGGCGAUCUCGAGUCCGGAAGAGGUGAGUGGAACUCCUAGUGUAGAGGUGGAAUUCGUAGAUAUUAGGAAGAACACCAGUGGCGAAGGCGGCUCACUGGUCCGGUACUGACGCUCAGGUGCGAAAGCUAGGGGAGCGAACAGG
rnacentral:rRNA from 1 species